rnacentral:rRNA from 1 species
AGUGAACGCUGGCGGUAGGCCUAACACAUGCAAGUCGAACGGCAGCACAGUAAGAGCUUGCUCUUACGGGUGGCGAGUGGCGGACGGGUGAGGAAUACAUCGGAAUCUACUUUUUCGUGGGGGAUAACGUAGGGAAACUUACGCUAAUACCGCAUGCGACCUACGGGUGAAAGCAGGGGAUCUUCGGACCUUGCGCGAUUGAAUGAGCCGAUGUCGGAUUAGCUCGUUGGCGGGGUAAAGGCCCACCACGGCGACGAUCCGUAGCUGGUCUGAGAGGAUGAUCAGCCACACUGGAACUGAGACACGGUCCAGACUCCUACGGGAGGCAGCAGUGGGGAAUAUUGGACAAUGGGCGCAAGCCUGAUCCAGCCAUGCCGCGUGGGUGAAGAAGGCCUUCGGGUUGUAAAGCCCUUUUGUUGGGAGAGAAAAGCAGCAGGUUAAUACCCCGCUGUUCUGACGGUACCCAAAGAAUAAGCACCGGCUAACUUCGUG